rnacentral:rRNA from 1 species
GACGAACGCUGGCGGCGUGCUUAACACAUGCAAGUCGAACGGUGAAGCGCCUUCCUUUUUGGUGGGUGGGGAUGAGUGGCGAACGGGUGAGUAACACGUGAGUAACCUGCCCCCUUCUUCUGGAUAACCGCAUGAAAGUGUGGCUAAUACGGGAUAUUCUGGGUCUGUCGCAUGAUGGGUCUGGGAAAGAUAUUGUUUCGGUGGGGGAUGGGCCCGCGGCCUAUCAGCUUGUUGGUGGGGUGAUGGCCUACCAAGGCGGUGACGGGUAGCCGGCCUGAGAGGGUGGACGGUCACGCUGGGGCUGAGCCACGGCCCAGACUCCUACGGGAGGCAGCAGUGGGGAUUAUUGCACGGUGGGCGCAAGCCUGAUGCAGCGACGCCGCGUGAGGGAUGGAGGCCUUCGGGUUGUGAACCUCUUUCGCCAGUGAAGCAGGCCUGCCUCGUUUGUGGGUGGGUUGACGGUAGCUGGAUAAGAAGCGCCGGCUAACUACGUG